CUUCUUCUUCUUCUUUCCACAACACUCCGAGCUUGGCUUUAAUCCUUAGUACAAAUCCUCAGUGUGCUACAAACGACAUAUGCUUAGAGAGUGGGAAAGGAUUCAAGUUAAGGAGCUAUCUUGAUCCCGAGUUUGAUUCUCCGGUUUCUGUUCUAGCCUCCUACAAAGAUCUCUUGCUAUGCAUGAAGAAAGCACAUUCAUGGUCUAGCACGCCAACACAACUCUACAUUGUGAAUCACGUGACAAUGCAAUGGACCCGUCUUCCUAAAUGUGGCAAUAG